rnacentral:rRNA from 1 species
GACAGAGGUGCCGAGCGUUAGGCGGAAUCACUGGGCUUAAAGCGUGUGUAGGCGGAUUCCUAAGUACCUUGUGAAAUCCCAUGGCUCAACCAUGGAACUGCUUGGUAUACUGGGUGUCUUGAGCCAACUAGGGGCUACCGGAACAAAUGGUGGAGCGGUGAAAUGCGUAGAUAUCGUUUGGAACGCCAAUGGUGAAAACAGGUAGCUGGGGCUGUGCUGACGCUGAGACACGAAAGCCAGGGGAGCAAACGGG